rnacentral:rRNA from 1 species
GACGAACGCUGGCGGCGUGCUUAACACAUGCAAGUCGAGCGGAGCGGCGAACGGGUGAGUAACGCGUGAGUAACUGCCCCCCUCUCUGGGAUAACAGUUGGAAACGGCUGCUAAUACCGGAUAGUGGGGGAUGCCUCGCGUCCUAUCAGCUUGUGGGUGGGGUAGUGGCCUACCAAGGCGACGACGGGUAGCCGGCCUGAGAGGGCGACCGGCCAAAUGGGGCUGAGUGACGGCCCAGACGCCUACGGGGGGCAGCAGUGGAGAAUAUUGCACAAUGGGGGAAACCCUGAUGAAGCAGCGCCGCGGGCGGGAUGGCGGCCUUCGGGUUGUAAACCGCUUUCAGCGAUGACGCGGUAGUGGCAGAAGAAGCACCGGCUAACUACGUGCCAGCAGCCGCGGUAAUAC